rnacentral:lncRNA from 1 species
UGAUUUUAGUUUAAUUCUUUAGGAUUUAUUAUGCUGAUUUUAGAUUUAAUACUUGGUAAUUGUUCUGUGUUUAGUUUGAUUCUUCUUCUUUUAAAUUAGUUUGCCUUCAUUUAGUUUAGUCUAGUGUUGAUUAAUCAGAAAUUUCUUUAGUUUGGUAAUUUGUCUUAACUAGUUUAGGUUUAGUUUGUUUGGUUAAAGUGUUAAUCUCAAGGUUGAACUAAGGCCAAUGGGCUUUUGUUGCGUAGUAAUUUCAGGAAACAAAUAAGGGUAGUUUAGGCAUGAAAAAGGGUAAUUUUGUUAGGAAUAGUAAUUUCAAAAUAAAGGCAAGGGUAGUAUAGGUAUUGUAUGAGUAGAAGAACACCUUAGAGCCUUCUAGAAUGGGGCUUUAGUGUACGUUUCUGCAUUUUUAAUACAAUAACUUGGAUAACGAGUCUCAAAUUCAGGGAUUAAUCACCAAUUUCUGAAAAUAAAAAGGAGAAAAAAUGUGUGAAAGGGUCCAAAACUUUCUGCCAUGUUAUGGCCUAUAAAAGGCAGCUCUAGUACCUUCACUAAGGGGUGUUUUGGACUACCUAGAAAUACCCAAAGCUCCAGCUAUCUAAUUCCUCCAAAAUCCUUCUCUAAUUUCCAGAUCUGUAUUAUAUUUUUGAAAUUCAAACAUUCAAAACCCCAAAAACGAUAGAAAUCACUAGAAACUAAAAAAACUUCAGGGCACUGCUCCAUUGCAAAUUUUAGUCAACUUUGAGUUUCAGAUUUGAGAGUGCAUCACUUAGAGACUCAGUAGUGUGGCUGUUUCAUUUCAAGCUGUUUGAGGUUCCACUGGUUCUCAUUUUGGUCAAGUUGUUGCUGUGUUUGGAUUUGUUAUACGAGUUUCAUUUUGUUUUCAAAUCAAUUUCGAUCUUUGAGCUAUUUCUGGUUGGAAUUGCAUUUUCUGUUGCUGAUGUGCUAAUUUCUUCUUCUUCUGUUAAAUUUUGCUCCCCAGGUACACAACUUGAGACUCUAUGGUUGUAACUUCACAUGGUUGAAACAUGGAAUAAACUGAGAAAGAUUCUCUUGCUGUGGAUUUAGAUUCUGAUAUUUCUGUAGAUUUAAAACAAUAUUCUGUGAUUCAAUUUCUUGGUUGUUGUGCUUGAAAUUCUGUAAUAAUCCUGGACUCAUUCAUAGAUGUGUAGACUAUUGAAUUAGCCUUCUGAAUAGUGAACCUGCGUUGCAACCUUAGUGUGAGUUAAUUUGAUUUCCUAGUAUAAUGUGGUGUGGUACAGAGCAGCUUGCCUCCAGUAGUAUUUUUGUUUAAAUAAGUUAAACAGUUUGUAUUCCAGUAUGCUAGCUCAUGUGUCUAGCUUUGAAAUCGUGUGUAAAUGACAUUAGUCUAAGCAGUUUAUUUGCCAUCUUUCAAUGCUAAUGAAUGGGGUUAAUUCUUAAUUCUUAGACACCUGAAUUAUUCUUCAAUUUCCAGUUUAUUUCGCAUUUUGGGAGUAAUUACAAAGUCACCAGCAGUAAUUGAAUAAAAUAGUUAGAAUAUAAAAUUCAUUUGUGUUGAUAUCAGUAGGCGUUGGCCU